rnacentral:tRNA from 1 species
GCUCCCGUAGCCCAACCGGCAGAGGCGACAGAUUCAAAACCUGUUCAGUGUGAGUUCGAAUCUCACCGGGAGCA